rnacentral:rRNA from 1 species
UGGGGAAUAUUGCACAAUGGGGGAAACCCUGAUGCAGCGACGCCGCGUGGAGGAAGAAGGUCUUCGGAUUGUAAACUCCUGUUGUUGAGGAGGAUAAUGACGGUACUCAACAAGGAAGUGACGGCUAACUACGUGCCAGCAGCCGCGGUAAAACGUAGGUCACAAGCGUUGUCCGGAAUUACUGGGUGUAAAGGGAGCGCAGGCGGGAAGACAAGUUGGAAGUGAAAUCUAUGGGCUCAACCCAUAAACUGCUUUCAAAACUGUUUUUCUUGAGUAGUGCAGAGGUAGGCGGAAUUCCCGGUGUAGCGGUGGAAUGCGUAGAUAUCGGGAGGAACACCAGUGGCGAAGGCGGCCUACUGGGCACCAACUGACGCUGAGGCUCGAAAGUGUGGGUAGCAAACAGGAUUAGAUACCCUGGUAGUCCACACCGUAAACGAUGAUUACUAGGUGUUGGAGGAUUGACCCCUUCAGUGCCGCAGUUAACACAAUAAGUAAUCCACCUGGGGAGUACGACCGCAAGGUUGAAACUCAAAGGAAUUGACGGGGGCCCGCACAAGCAGUGGAGUAUGUGGUUUAAUUCGACGCAACGCGAAGAACCUUACCAAGUCUUGACAUCCUGCGACGAUGCUGGAAACAGUAUUUUCCUUCGGGACACAGAGACAGGUGGUGCAUGGUUGUCGUCAGCUCGUGUCGUGAGAUGUUGGGUUAAGUCCCGCAACGAGCGCAACCCUUACUGUCAGUUACUACGCAAGAGGACUCUGGCAGGACUGCCGUUGACAAAACGGAGGAAGGUGGGGAUGACGUCAAAUCAUCAUGCCCUUUAUGACUUGGGCUACACACGUACUACAAUGGCGUUAAACAAAGAGAAGCAAGACCGCGAGGUGGAGCAAAACUCAGAAACAACGUCCCAGUUCGGACUGCAGGCUGCAACUCGCCUGCACGAAGUCGGAAUUGCUAGUAAUCGUGGAUCAGCAUGCCACGGUGAAUACGUUCCC